rnacentral:rRNA from 1 species
CCUACGGGUGACAGCAGUGGGGAAUAUUGGGCAAUGGGCGCAAGCCUGACCCAGCAACGCCGCGUGAAGGAAGAAGGCUUUCGGGUUGUAAACUUCUUUUAUGAGGGACGAAGGAAGUGACGGUACCUCAUGAAUAAGCCACGGCUAACGACGUGCCAGCAGACGCGGUAAUACGUAGGUGGCGAGCGUUCUCCGGAUUUACUGGGUGUCAAGGGCGUGUAGGCGGGCUUGCAAGUCAGAUGUGAAAACUAUGGGGUCUACCCAUAGCCUGCAGUUGAAACUGUAGGUCUUGAGUGAUGGAGAGGCAGGCGGAAUUCCGGGUGUAGCGGUGAAAUGCGUAGAUAUACGGAGGAACACCAGUGGCGAAGGCGGCCUGCUGGACAGUAACUGACGCUGAGGCUCGAAAGCGUGGGGAGCAAACAGGAUUAGAUACCCCGGUAGUC